AGUGAGCGCUGGCGGUAGGCCUAACACAUGCAAGUCGAACGGCAGCACAGUAAGAGCUUGCUCUUACGGGUGGCGAGUGGCGGACGGGUGAGGAAUACAUCGGAAUCUACUUUUUCGUGGGGGAUAACGUAGGGAAACUUACGCUAAUACCGCAUACGACCUACGGGUGAAAGCAGGGGAUCUUCGGACCUUGCGCGAUUGAAUGAGCCGAUGUCGGAUUAGCUAGUUGGCGGGGUAAAGGCCCACCAAGGCGACGAUCCGUAGCUGGUCUGAGAGGAUGAUCAGCCACACUGGAACUGAGACACGGUCCAGACUCCUACGGGAGGCAGCAGUGGGGAAUAUUGGACAAUGGGCGCAAGCCUGAUCCAGCCAUACCGCGUGGGUGAAGAAGGCCUUCGGGUUGUAAAGCCCUUUUGUUGGGAAAGAAAAGCAGCAGGUUAAUACCCCGCUGUUCUGACAGUACCCAAAGAAUAAGCACCGGCUAACUUCGUG
rnacentral:rRNA from 1 species